GAUCCACCAUGUGGUUGUUUAGAAUUGAACCCAGGACCUCUGGAAGAGCAGCCAAUGCUCUUAACUGCUGAGCCAUCUCUCCAGCCCCUAGAUGCUUUCUUAUAUAAGAGAAACUUAAUUCUAGGUCCCAGGCCCUAAGGGAGCUGGGGACUUCCCUAUAGCUGAACAGCCUCUGAUACAAACAGCUGUCUGAGUCCGGACAUCUCAAGGACAACUUCUCCAUCUUACUGGCUGGGUCAAACAAGUUCAUGUUCCCAAGCCUAGGGAUGAACGCCUAUCCCACCUGUCCAAAUGUUUCCUUAAUCGUCUGUUAACCAGUAAAGAUUAUAGAAACUGCUGAUAUCUAAAGCAAGGUGCAUAUAUUGUUAAAAUACAUAACCAGUUGCCUGUUCUGCCCUAAUUACCUACAUGCAGCUGGCCUGCUCCUUUGGCCUCUUAUCACUCUGAGCUCCAGACAUAAGGUCGAGGAGAAUGAAUUAAGGACCUUGAAGCCAGGUGUCUUGGAUAUGGCCCAGUCUCCAACGGAUACUCCCUGCUUGACUCCCAAUGUCAAAAUACAGCCGGCUAACACCGCAGCUCCCCCCAGCAUCCACCUCGCUUUGUGUUCCCAGCCUUUGAAAAUGCUGUACAAUCUCCCUUUAGGGAGACAGUGGAGAUCCCCUCCUUGAGCACUCAGAAAAUAAAACUUCCAUUUUUAAGCUUCCCAAUCUGGAGUUCCCUUGGCUGUCAGCUUGAACCUAACAAAUGUGACCAGAAACUUCAAUUUCCAGCUGCCUUGACUGCCCCUGCAUGAUGGGCCAGACCCUUAGGUUGCUCUGUCAGAGUCUUUUAUCACAGCAACGGAACAAAACCUAAGACAUCUCCCUAUGUCUGUGGAUCAGGAUGUGAGCUCUCAGCUGCUGCUCCAGCACCACGCCCCCUGCCCGUUGCCUUCCUCCCUGCAGGGAUGAUGAUGGACUCCUGUGCUUCCAGAACUGUAAAGGCCCCAAACCCUUCCUUCUCAAAGUUUCAUGGCACCGUAUCGCAGCAAUAGGAAAGAAACUACCCCAGCUUCUUAUCGGGAUGACCUUAAACUCCUGAUCCUCCUUCUUCUGUCUCCCAAGAGCAGACAAUCCGGGAAUGCCUGUCCAGCUGGCUUUUCUUUUCAUUAAAAUGUAUUUUACUGUUAUUUUCAUGGGUGCGAGUGUUUGCCUACAUGUAAGUACGUGUACCGCGUUCAUGCCUGGUUUCUGAGGACGCCAGAAGAGAAUGUCCACACCGGAACAGGAGAACAACUGAACUCAGGUCCUUUGCAAGAGCAGUAAGUGCUCUCUUAACUGCUGGACCAUCUGUGGGUAUUCUCUCUGUAAGACUCUCAGAGAGAAUCUUCCCUCAGGAGGGAGAUCCUCAAGCCCAAUGACCAGUCCGAGUCCACAGGCUGCAAUCAGCAAGAGGAUUUUUAUUGAUCAGGAUACACAGGUAUCUGUGGGCGUCCCAGUCAAUUUGGAAGACUGGCGCGCCUAGCAGAACCAGGGACGGGUUUUUAUAGUGUAUUGGGAGCAGAAGCAGGCUUACAGAAGCAGAUGCAUG
ensembl:lncRNA